CAGAUGUUGAGUUGGGAAUUAAAGUGAUAUCAUCAAUGAACAAAGCACAAACAAGAGUGGAAGAAGACUAAAAAGCAAAGACAGGUAGCUCGGAUUAACAAGAAAACUCAACCGGAGAGAUGGAGGUCAUAUUCAAAUUGCUUGUGUGCCUGCUUCUGGUCCUGCACAGUAAGAUAUCAGUUUUACUCUCCUAUUCUCUGUGGGAUUGCAAGGCGUUUUAUAAUGUUUACCCCGGGGACUUUCCAAAGCAAUCAGUGAACUUUAACUAAAGCUGCAAAGUAGCCACAAGAACGACUGUAGCAAAGGUCCAACGGGGAAAAGAGGUUGGGUGUGUACAAGUCU